UGGACUGUGUAGCUCUGUCCCAGUUCAAGGGUGGGAUCCUUCAAAAGACCUGGCCUUCAUAGCCUGUAGACCGCCCAGGAUGAACUGAAAUGAGACAGUCUGGUCUGUGGAGGAUAUCCUGUUUGCAUGACCAGCUGUUCCCUUCACUUGCACACUUGGCGUCCCACAGCCCCUUCCCUGUCACCUCACAUCAGGUCCUGUGCGACUUGGUGCAUCUCUUUGGAGGCCAGCAGAAUGCGGCGUCUCUCCUUCAGGGGCUCGAUGAGGCGGACGAUGCGGGUCUCCACCAUGCCUGACUGCUCACCGCUCUCCUUCUCGCAUGCCACCAGCCCUCGCUGGGGGAGGCAGACCCCCUGCAGGCUGCCCAGCUCCCCCACAUCCUUGUAAAAGUCCCCGAUCUGGGACUCCAUGGCCUGCAGCAGAGGGAGGGGGAGGUCAUGUUACAGCCAUACGAGGGACGCAUAAACACAGCCCAUCAGCUGUUUCCGACCAGAACAUUUCAGGGUUAUGUAACUGGUGCCUCACUUUAAGGAUGAAAAAGCAUAUGGUGCAUUUUUUAAUGCCACUGAACCUUGGGUUGCCACAACAGUGGCCUCUGUGGACGCAUGUCAAAGCUGAGAAACAUUAUAUAAACAACAAUGAGCUGAUGUUUGCAGUCUGUCACAAACAUUAAAAAAAACAGUACACACACAGAG